rnacentral:rRNA from 1 species
AACGAACGCUGGCGGCAUGCCUAACACAUGCAAGUCGAACGAGACCUUCGGGUCUAGUGGCGCACGGGUGCGUAACGCGUGGGAAUCUGCCCUUGGGUUCGGAAUAACAGUGAGAAAUUACUGCUAAUACCGGAUGAUGACGAGAGUCCAAAGAUUUAUCGCCCAAGGAUGAGCCCGCGUAGGAUUAGCUAGUUGGUAAG